CCCCCCCCCCCCCCCCCCCCCCCCCCCCCCCCCCCCCCCCCCCCCCCCCCCCCCCCCCCCCCCCCCCCCCCGGGUUUGGGCGAUUUGGGCGGGGUUUGUGAGGUUUUGGGGUCACUCUCAUGGUCCUGUUUUCCCCUCUGCUGGUUCUUUGUCACCUCUCGUGGUCCUGUGUCACCCCCAGGUGACAGGGAUGGACAUUUUGGGGACACCAGGGUGGUUGGGGACAUUGGGUGGCAGUGGCCGGGUGUGAAAAGAGAAGAAUUUUCCUGAUUUGUGGCGUUUUUGUGGGGUCUGUGCUGGGGUUGGUGUCCCCUCUCCUGCUGUCCUUUGUCCCCUGCAGCGGCCCUGCCAGAGCCACGCCAGCUACGCGCUGCUGGACGGCGGGGACAGCCCCGAGAGCGAGGCCACCGUCUGAGGGGACACCUGGGGACACCCCGGGGACACCCUGGGGACACCCUGGGGACACCGCACGGGGCUGGCGUUGGGUGGGGGACAAGGGGUUUGGGCGAUACCGCACGGGGCUGGCGUUGGGUGGGGGAAAAGGGGUUUGGGCGAUUUUGGGGGGGGCUGUGGUGUUUUCCUGGAGUUUGGAGGUCACUUCUUAUGGUCCUGCGUCACCUCUCGUGGUUCUGUGUCACCCCCAGGUGACAGGGAUGGACAUUCUGGGGACACCAGGGUGGUUGGGGACAUUGGGUGGCGGUGGCCGGGUGUGAAAAGAGGAGAAUUUUCCUGAUCUGGGGUGUUUCUGUGGGGUUUUUCUGGGGUUUUUGGGUCACUUCUUAAGGUUCUGGGUCACCUUUCCUGGUUCUGAGUCACCUUUCGUGGUUCUGUGUCACCCCCAGGUGACAGGGAUGGACAUUUUGGGGACAUCAGGGCAGUUGGGGACAUUGGGUGGUGGUGCCUGGGUGUGAAAAGAGGAGAAUUUUCCUCAUUUGUGGCGUUUUUGUGGCAUUUUUGGGUCACUUCUUAAGGUUCUGGGUCACCUCUGCUGGUUCUGAGUCACCUCCAGGUGACAGGGAUGGGGGUGCAGCUGAUGGACAGUCCCGGAAUGGGGGACAGGGACAGGGACAGUCCCGGAAUGG
rnacentral:lncRNA from 12 species